CCCCUCACCCCACCCCUACUUCACAGCGCAACUGAUCAGGCGAGCUGACUUCUCACCUGAUCAGUUGUGCUGUCUUCUGCCCCACCCCCAAACCCACCAAACCCCACCCCAGCCCAGCCACACAUCUCCAUCACAGCUGAUCAGCAGCAGUCUGGAAGAAUCACACCCAUCAGAUUGACAUGUGAUAGCUACACGUUUGCUGACUGGUUUUUCCUCAUGUCUGCAGGUUCUAUCAACCCCCCUCCAUCCUCUGCCCCCCCCACCCCCUUCUCCUCGGGGUGUGGGGGGGGGAGACAGCACAAUGGAGCCUGCCCCACCCCUCACCCCACCCCACCCCAAGUGGCAAAUGUGUGGGAUGAGGCAUGAAGAUAUGCCACCGUCACUUUCGUUGUCCUGGGCAGGAUUGUUUGUUGGAGGUUCCAUCAACCCCCUCCAUAAGCUGUCC